AUGCUAGUAUUUGGUAUUGUGUCUUUAAACAUUUCCUGUGAGACACUUGGUGAGUCAUUUCAAACAUGGUUUUCAUUUCUUGGAAAUUUUCUUGAAAUGUGUGUAUACACAUACACACACUUAAGUGUUUUCCUUCCAUCUUCACAGUUCUUUCUGGAUUUCCUGUUAGUCAGAUGUUGGGUCUCCGGGGCCUGCUUCUCGAGGGUGAUCUUCAGUGUAAUCUGGGCACCACGCAGCUAUUCCUUGGCCACCAAGGAGGCCAGUUCAUGCACAAGGCAUCAGGAGGCAAGACUGCAGCUCAGUGCCAAAUCUUCUGGACACGUUCAGUGGACACAUAGACUUUUCAGAGUGACUCGAGGUUUGGACCCCCCUGGAGAUCAUCCUAAGGAAAGAUCAAAGACCACUGUUCAGAAGCACAGCUCCAGCCCUAGAGAGGACAGACUCAUGUGUGCCUCAGUGCCCCAGCCAGCUCCCCACGACCCGCGCCCCCCCAGCCUCUGUCGCGGCCCGGGGACUCCAGGAGUCCCCCAGAACGCCGCCGCCCUGCCUGCCCCGGGACCCCCGCCCGUGUCCCCUCUGCCCACUGCGGGGAGCACAGGGACCGGCUCCGGGAGCAGGGGCCCGGAGGGAUCGGGCUUUGCCCGGGAGAUGAGACGGCUCGGCUCCGGGCUCGCUUCGAACUUGCCCAAAUUAAACAACAACGAACCGCGGCCACUCAGCGGCUGACCCAUCUCCUCCCCCUCAGUCCCGUUUUCCGGGGACGGUGGCGAGAAGCGGCAUUUCCUGGUGACACAGUGCGGGCCUCGCGGUUGCGGCGAUUGGGGGAGCCGAGCGGCUCUCGCCUUAGCUCGGGAGAGUGAGAGCGGAGCCUAACAGACUGCUCUUUGGCUGCACAGCCCAAGGGCCUUGCCUCCGGCCUCUCGGCGCGACCACGAGAGGGAGAUGUCGCCGGGAGGGGGCGCCUGCUGCGCGGCUGGGACUCCGCGUGGUGAAGUGUCAGCGUGCCCACACUGGGAGCGGGCCAAGCAAAGAAACAGCGGGUCAGGAGAACCCAUGAAGAGUGUCUCUUUGCUAUGGUGAGCUUCCCUUCGGAACCAGGACUAAGCAAACAUCUCUAUAGCCUCGUGGAGAAGAGCCCAGACUCGGCUCAUUGCUUAGCAACAUAAAGUGCUACUAAAAAUGCAGAAUAAAAGGCAGGUGGUACAAAAGUACA
rnacentral:lncRNA from 1 species